AGCGAACGCUGGCGGCAGGCCUAACACAUGCAAGUCGAACGAACUCUUCGGAGUUUGUGGCGGCCGGGGGUGUAACACGAGGGAACGGGCCCAUAGGUUCGGCAUAACUCUGGGAAACGUGUGCCAAUACCGAAUGGGCCCUACGGGGGAACGAUUUAUCGACUUUGGAGGGGCCCGCGUCUGAUUAGCUUGUUGGUGAGGUUAAAGCUCACCAAGGCGACGAUCAGUAGCUGGUCUCAGAGAAUGGUCAGCCACAUUGGGACUGAGACGCGGCCCAAACUCCUACGGGAGGCAGCAGUGGGGAAUCUUGCGCAAUGGGCGAAAGCCUGACGCAGCCAUGCCGCGUGAAUGAUGAAGGUCUUAGGAUUGUAAAAUUCUUUCACCGGGGACGAUAAUGACGGUACCCGGAGAAGAAGCCCCGGCUAACUUCGUG
rnacentral:rRNA from 1 species